UUAAAGAAAAACUAGAGCCACGCAAAUUUCCACCGGGGAACCGCGAGAGGCAGAGGGAGAGUCCCGCUAGGCCGCCAGCACUCUCUCCUCGGGCCACGGCCGACGCCCGCCGGAGGCAGAUCGACCCGGGACCUGCCGGCCGGCCGACCUCGCGAUGGAGCAGCGGCCGGCGUCCGCCCGCGUCGUCACCAUCCCCUUCGCCGACCUCGAGGAUAGGGGCAAGGACCUGAACGGCGUGAUCGGGGAUGGCUUCGGGCGCCAAGGGCUCGGCAUCGUCUCCAUCGCCGACGUACCUGGUUAUCCCGAGCUCAGGAAAAGGCUGCUGCGCCUGGCGCCAAGGGUUGCAAACCUUCCUGAAGAAGUGAAGAAAGGACUGGAAGACCCAAAUAGCAGAUAUAACUUCGGUUGGAGUCAUGGGAAACAGAAAUUUGAGUCUGGCAAAUUUGAUUCCCAUCAUACUGCCGACCAAACAUAUGGCCAAAUGAUGAUCUUCCCGAGCUUCAAACAGGUUACAUUUAAGGAUGAUGAAUUGGCCUACAUGACUGGGGAAACUGCUGAAAUACUAUCAAGAGGUCACCUACGUGCAACCCCACACUGUGUGAAGGCGCCCAGCUGCGAAGAUGCUUCGCUUGUUGACCGCUCGACUUUCGCGCUGUUUGUGCAGCCAAAUUGGGCUUCUUCACCUGAUCACCUCAACUGUGAUGAGCCAUGCAUAUGAGGCGCAACUAAGGAUGAGAAGAUCAAGUUUCCAAGUGAAUUCCCCUAUCACCAAGAGCUGUCGAUUCCGCCGAACGAAACACUUGCGUACGGGGAGUACUCGGAGAGGAUACUGAACAAGCACUACGAGGCAAGAACGUGAGGCAGAGCAGCUUCCACACACAGACACACUGUAAUAGCUAAGUGGAUCACUGAAUCACAACAAUGUACUAUACCAACAGAACAGAAAAAACCCGCGACGUCUGAUGUAUUUGGGAGUGGAAGGCCAGCGAGUCCUUGCAUAAA